AGAAAUUUUAAUGACAAAAAGAAUAAAAAAUUAUUGCUACAUACAAAACAUGUUAAAACCGUAAAUAACCGUUUAAUUCGUAUCCAGGCAACACAGUCUUAGCUGUAGUGGAUGACAAUAUAUGUGUUUUACAUUUAAAGGUGUUUUUUGUGCACUCACUCUCAUCAGGAACAAUUGAAGCAUUGGAUGUAUACAGUUACGCAUAAAAUUCUUUCAAAAUGGCCAACAAAAAUAAAAAAGAUGUUAAAUAAACAGAUAACAAAUAAAACAUAACAAAAAAGCAAAAAUAUCGUUCCUUUGCGAUAUUCAAAAAUUAAAUUGAAAAAUGGCAAAUGAAAACUGAAAUAUUUACAAUCAGUUGAAACGCUAUUAAUAAAUAACAACUCAAAAAUGGAGUAAAUCAUAGCUAUAACACCCCAAUUAUCCUUUCCGAGCUUUUGCAUAAAAGAUAAGUCAAGAAACCCAUAUUACUGCACACGGAACACUUAAAUGCGUUAUACAAUGUUUUAUAAAGCUAUUUAUAGUACAGGUUAUCAUAGAUACCAGGAAUUAAGCUUUUUUACGCGUUUCGUCGACAGAAGCGUAAAAAAAAGCAGAAUCACAAAAAACACUGAACAGUGACGCUCAGAUAAAAAUACCAAAGUGAAACUGCGGGCUACUGCUCACUGAUGAUACCCCCUCCACCAGUGAAUAAUUUUAAUAGUAUUUUAAUUGUGUAAAAAUAUGUAAGUGUUCGGUAAACAUUAAGAUGUCGAGAAAUAAAUCUGAAAACGCAUCACACGGUAUAGCUGACUUAUAUAAACCCUUAAACCAAAUAUCAGAAAUCCUUGUCUUGUAGUUUCUGAGUAAAAUGUGACGAACAACUUAUCUAUAAUGUUUAAAAUGAUACAAGUGUUCGGUAAACAAGAAGUUGACGAGUGAUGAAACUGAAAACGCAUAGCACAGUAUAGCUGAUUUAUAUAAACCCUGAACCCAAAUUUCAGAAAUCCUUGUUAUGUAGUUCCUGAGAUAGAAGCGACGAAAAAAGUUCAUGGAAUGGACAAACGGACGGACAGAUGGAUGGACUGACGGAUGGACUGACGGACGUACAGAUAGAGGCAAAACAGUAUACCCCACUUUAUCAAAGUAGAGGUAUUAGAAGGCAAAUUUCAUUUUUAUUUCUUGUACUACAUUCGGCUGUUACAAAAUGAUAGAAAUUAUUAUAAAUUAAGGAAUGUAUCUCCCUCAUGCAAAGCUCUGAUUCCUCUCACGGAUUUGGCUAUACUUUUUUAAUUUUAUUCUAUAUUUUCUUCUUCCAAUUGUUGUAUUUCAUCAUAUUUUCAUAUCUAAUCACUCCUUUACAAAAUUGUAAAUCAGGAAGUUUCUGUCUUAGCCAGUUUUUAUCUCCUGCAGUUUGCUCACAAGUUUAUUGUCUCCAGAAAUAUAUCUAUUAAUAAUUUCUGGGUAGGAAUUAAAGGCAAUUUUGAAUUAAAAUGUGCAUGGGGAUAUAAAACUAAACACGAGCAAUUAAAUCGCCAUUACUACCUGAUUCAGGAGUGUUAAUACACAGAUUAACAUCAUACAUUUAUACACCAUAUAAAAAUUUCAUUGCUAUUGACAUGUAUAUUAAAAGAUACUUAAUUAUGUACAAUUUAAAAAAAAAAACUUGAGAAUGUUUCUGGCUAUUUAUUUCAUACUAGACUUUAAAUUUAGUUGUUUCUUCCCUUUCAGCACUAAAGAAGACAUUUUAGAUGAGUCUUAGGAUUUUGUCUUUAGUAAAACAGUUAAUGAUAUUUAGUUGAUAUUUUUAAAAGUACUAUAUUUACAAAUUUGAUGUAAAAUCAUAUUGUUCACAAUAUAUGGUUGAAU
rnacentral:lncRNA from 1 species